rnacentral:rRNA from 1 species
GGGCGGGGAGAGGGGCUCGCGGCCUAUCAGCUAGUUGGCGGGGUGACGGCCCACCAAGGCGGUGACGGGUAGCUGGUCUGAGAGGAUGGCCAGCCACAUUGGGACUGAGAGACGGCCCAG